rnacentral:lncRNA from 10 species
CCCGGCCUGUCCCCUAAUAUUCUUUCCUCCAUAUCUCUCUCCCCACACCAUUCUCCUCCCUGUAGCCACUCAUCCUAAACCCGCCUACCUUUCAGGGCUCAGCGGUUAGGAGGUUCCCCGUGUGGGCCUGGAGAAGGGCAGAAUCAGGAAGGGGACAAGAAAAGACCAGGGCAAUGACCAAAGGACCAAGCCACGACAGGAAGGAAAUUGAGCCAAGGGGUGGGAGGGGUGAUGUCCAGGGAGAAUGGGAUGCAGGAGUGGGGCUUGAGGGAGCUGGGGGCCAGGACAGGAAGGAGCAGGAUUAGGGGCUUGCGAGGCUCAGGAAAUGACAGCAGGAGCUGCUGGUGAUGGGGCCACAGGAGCCUGGGGCCUCUGUGAGUUGCAGCCAGAAACUGGGGCUGGGGUCAGCGAGAGGAGGGGCCAGCAGGGGCACCCAGGGCACUGGUGGGGGUCCCGCUAACUGAGGCAAAGGACCAGAGCCCUUCCCCAGGAGUUCACAAUCAAGUCCACAGCUGGACCACACCUGGGCCUUCUGAGCUGGGUGACGUGGCAGUGCAAUCUGCACUCCACCCCCUGCCCAAAGCCACUCACUCCUGCUGGGACCAGGGAGGUCCUUGCUAAUCUCAAGUGACAGCUGGGGCCACCAAGGUUCAGAAAGGAGAAGGGAAUUGGCCAAGUUCUCCCGGAAGCAGAGGCCGGGCCAAGAUGAGGCCUCAGACCCCUGACUCCCAGCCCCAGGCCCCGCCCACUCCCACGGCCUCUGGCCUUGCUCCUGAAAGACCUUCAAGAAGGCCUCCCGCUGACAGCUCGGAAGAUGUCCUCCCCCCUCCCUGUCCACAGCCCGCCUGCCUCCAAAUCCCCUCCCGCUCUGCUCUCCCACUCAGGCGCACUGAUUCUCUGAACCUGUGGCCACAUCAGUCUCACUAGUGCAGGGCCACGCUCAGACUGAAGCAGACGGUGGGCCACUGUCUGGACAGCAAAGGAAAACAAACAAAUGCUCCUGGUGAUUUCUGCGCUGUCUCCGGUCAGAGUGGCUGGGUCAAACCUGAGCCCCAGCUCCGAAAGGGACCCACAGAGUAGAGAUCUGCUAGGCCUCUCAAGGAGCCAGUACAUCUGAAAGAGAUUCAGCCUGCAGCCCUCGAAGUCAGGUUACACUGUCUGUUUUCCCAGCAGAACAUGCCCACUAGUGUCCAAAAGAGGGGGUAGGGAGGGCAGCUGGCCCUCCUGGGGCCUGAGAAGGGGCUCUGCAGCCCCCCUCCAAACACCCAAUACUUGCUGUGAACUAGCCAGCUAACAGGUCUCCUGAAUCCAGCAACAGAAUCAAUAAUCUAGCAACCAUGAACCUCCAGGGUGACAAUUCCAACCCCUCCUACUUUUCAAAGAAGAAAUGGAAGCUGGGCGCAGUGGCUCACGCCUGUAAUUCCAGCACUUUGGGAGGCCAAGGCGGGCAGAUCACUUGAGGUCAGGAGUUCGAGACCAGCCUGGCCAACAUGGUGAAACCCCAUCUCUACUAAAAAUACAAAAACUAGCCGGGUGUGGUGGUGCAUGCCUGUAAUCCCAGUUACUUGGAAGGUUGAGGCUGGAGAAUAGCUUGAACCUGGGAGGCAGAGGUUGCAGUGAGCCAAGAUCACGCCACUGCACUCCAGCCUGGGCAACGGAGUCAGACUCCAUCAGAAGAAGAAGGAGAAGGAGAAGGAGAAGGAGAAGGAGAAGGAGAAGGAGAAGGAGAAGGAGAAGGAGAAGGAGAAGGAGAAGGAGAAGGAGAAGGAGAAGGAGAAGAAGAAGAAGAAGAAGAAGAAGAAGAAGAAGAAGAAGAAAUGGAGUCUCAGAGAUGCAGAGUGGCUUGUCACAGCCCACAGGAAAGACAGGCUAGAUGCAAGGGCAGAGCCAGAGCCCUGGGAUGCGCCGCCAACAGCCCUCCCCCCGCACUCCCCCCUGCACACUUGGGGCUCACGCUUGGGGCAGAAGUCAAUGAUCUCUUCCAACCCCCCAUCAGCGAACAGACACUUCCUCCUCCGGGGCUCACAGCCAAGUACCUCAAACCACAGUGACAUCACUGCCACCUGUGACAUCACUACACGCCACAGUGGAAAAAGACUGUGGGUCCCAGAGAGGUGGGUCCUGAGCAUCAGAGCCCCAGCCCCGCAGUCAGCUACUCAGCAGAGGUGAUCAAGGCCCAAAGCCCUAGGCCUGGAAGGGGGCAGGACUCAGAACCGGGUCAGAGCAGCCUGCACCCAUUACCAGCGACAAAGGGCUUCUUCCAGGAAAACGCCCUUCCUGCUCAAGGCUUCCUUGAACCUGUGGGUUCCCAGACAGCAGGCUCUGCAGCGCCUGCCUACAGUAAGGACUUUCCUACAGUGUGGGGAAGGGGAAAGGAUCUAGCUCCCGAACUUGAAAAGGUGCCACCUAGGUACCAAGGGGCAGAGAGGCAGGACAUCCACAAACCCCAGUUCUGCCUAAGGAGCUCCACCAUGUCCUUCAUGAAGGCUGAAAGGCAGCCGUGAAUUCUUGAUGGCCCUGGAGCCUGAGUCAGGAAAUCAAUCCACCCAAAGCAAGUGAGAUUGAGGUCAGCAAGAAGAAGAGAAGCUGGGGAACCAAGAUAUUGACAGUGGGGAGUCCUGGGCUCUCCUUCCUGUAGACUUUUAUAUACCCCACCCCCAAUCUGUGGCCUUUGUCAAGUAUACUCAAAGCCGACACUUCCCCAAUAUUCUAGGAAAGCAUUGGAACCAGGGUUGUUAGGUUUCAUAGAUAGGGAUGCUUAGGCCCAGAGAGGUUAAGUAACCCAAGCAAGGUAGCACAGCAAGCCAGUGACGGUGCUCAGAUGGGAACUGUGAUCUCCCAACACCCAAGUCAGUGCUCCUUCCUCAGAGCCAUGCUGUCUUAGAAGUCACUUGGAGGCAGGAAAAUGGACAGCAUGAUCUCAGAAGAGCCCCCAUAGGGCAUCCCCUUCUCAGGGUCACAAGUAAACAGAACCUUCAGCAGCACAGAGGUUGGAGAUGGAAGAGGUUUUGGAGAUGGCCUGGAAUCUUCCCGUGCCCAUCUUGCAAACUGAAGCCUUGUGCACUCUCUCUGUGCUUCACCAAAUGUACCCUUCACUCAUCCCCAAAACACACAGCACCUGUUACUCACUAAAAGGGGUGGCAAAGGGAGGGGAGGGGAUAUCCUGACCCCACAGCCUUUGCCACAAUACAGUGUCCUAAGACCAGGCUGUCAAGCAGUGGGUUUGAGAGCCCAGCCAGGGGGCACUGGGGCAGAAGCACAGACAGGAAAAGGCAGGGAGGAAAGAAGUUGCUUUCUGAGAUGAUGGGCAACAAAGCCACUUAGACAGGAACUCUGGGCAACUGCAGGGCUGCCACCCAAGCUUCAGGGCCCUGGGGCUCAGAGCAGACAGUCUGACUCCACAGGGGUCCCCACCUAGGCCCGAGCACCACCCCAUGGCCCAGAGAGUCGGGUCAGACCUGCAAAGCCACCAAUGGCUCAAAUAGCUGCCAAUGCCAGGAUUAGAAAGCACUUUUAAUCCUGACAGCCAGCCCGUGAGGCUAGGAUUACUCCCAUUUUACAGAUAAGAACACAGAGGCUCCGAGGGAUAGAAAGACUUGCCCAGGUCACACAGCCAGUAAAACAGCAGAGCAGCGACUUGAGGUUUAUCUGAUUCAGAGGCCGGGGCCUUUCCCCAGAGUCAUCAGUGCUGCUUCCCUGUGGCCAGACGAGGGUCCAGAACGGGGAGCCACAGCGCCUCUCCUUUGUUCCUGUUCAUCCCCGGCACCCCAAACCCCAGCUUCCCUCCUUGCCCGCUUCUGGGUAAAUCACAUGCAUUCUGGGGCCCUGAGUCACCGUCAGUGAGUGGCCCCAUCCCUCACUACACGAGGGAUGUCGAGGGGGUGAGCAAUUUGGGGAGAGGACCCCUAACCUCAGCAGACACCACUCAAUGGGAAGAGGAGCCCAGAAAAAUACCCCAAGAGAUGGAGGCAAACAGAACCCCACCCUGCCACCACUGACUUUUCAAACCCCCGUCUCAUCUGUAAAACAGGGCCAUUAUCAAGGUCAAGGUCAGAUGAAUAUUUUUUGAACACUUACUAUGUGCCAGGCACUGUCCUAGGCCAGUGGUUCUCAAUCAGGGGCAAUCCCCCAACCCCAAAGGACACUUAGCAAUAUCUGGAGAUAUUUUUGUCACGAGGGAGGGUGGCGCUACUGCCAUCCAAUAAGUAGAGGCCAGGGAUGUCGCUAAACAUCCUACAGCUCACGGGACAGCCCCACAACAAAGAAUUAAAGUCAGAGGCACUGACUGAAAAACCCUCUUCUAGGCUAGAGUCUACAGUGGUGAAUGAGUCCCUGUCCUCACGGUACUUACAAUCUUGUGGGAAGACAUAAUAAAAGUGAAAUAAAUAGAAUAGGUCAAGAGCAUUAUACAGGAAUACAAAGCAGGUCAGGGAGUGAGAGUGCCUGGCAGGGAGCACCUACAGGCAGGAUUGUCUACUUCAGCAGAAGGAAGCGAGGGAAGGAGACCAAGAGACGUCAGCAGGAGGAGUAUUGGAGGUGAUGGGGAAAGCAAGUGCAAAGGCCCUGGAGCAGGUGUGUGUGCAGCACAUCUGAGGACAGAAAAGCAUGGCUUAAAAGUGAGAAUGGGGCUGGGUGGGGUGGCUCACGCCUAUAAUCCCAGCACUUCGGGAGGCCGAGGCAGGUGGAUCACUUGAGUUCAGGAGUUCGAGACCAGCCUGGCCAACAUGGCAAAACCCGGUCUCUACUAAAAAAAAAAAAAAAAAGGAAAAAUUAGCCGGGCAUGGUGGCACACACCUGUAAUCCCAGCUACUUGGGAGGCUGAGGUGGGAAAAUUGCUUGAACCCAGGAGGUGGAGGUUGCAGUGAGCAGAGAUUGGGCCACUGCACUCCAGCCUGGGUGACAGAGUAAGACUCUAUCUCAAUAAAAAAAAAUUAAAUAGAAAAAAAGAAGAAGAAGUGAGAACGGGCCAGGCACAGUGGCACAUGCUUGUAAUCCCAGCACUUUGGGAGGCUGAGGCGGGAGGAUCACUUGAGGUCAGGGGUCCAAGACCAUCCUGGGCAAUAUGGUGAAACCCCGACUCUACUAAAAAUACAAAAAAAAAAAAAAUUAGUUGGGCAUGGUGGUGCAUGCCUGUAGUCCCAGCUACUCUGGAGGCUGAGGCAGGAGAAUCGUUUGAACCCAAGAGGCAGAUGGAGACUGCAGUGAGCAGAGAUGUCGCCACUGCACUCCAGCCUGAGCAACAGAGCAAGACUCCAUCUCAGAAAAAAAGUAAGAAGUGAGUUGGUGUAGAGUCGGGUGUAACAUACAUGCCAUGGCUCCGGCAAAACUCUUCCCCUUCCCACGCACAACCGUCCCUGCUACUCCUCCAGAAAACAUUGCAUAGUAAGGACCAUAAAGCGUCACCCAGCCGUGGGGAGGGACAGUGCUACGGGGAGCCACUGUGCCAGGUGCCAGGAUGGCAGGGUCACCUCUGACGUAAGAAUGCCCGGCAGGUUCUCAGCCUUUCACACCCAUGGCUCUGUGACAAAGGCCAGGCAGGGAAUACUUUCCACAACCACAGAUGAGAACAUAGGCUUACUAGCUCAGCUAAGCUCAUAAGGGCAGUUGGGACAGAGCCCAGGUCUGUGAGGUCUGUGACCUAUUGGUAGUGUAGCUCCUAGAGGAUUGGAGCUGGAGUCAUCUUGAGGUCCCCAGAGCCAGGCACUGGGCUGGGCUUGGACUAGGUGUGUCCAUGAACUUUGGGGAAUGAAUGAAUGAAUGAAUGGCCCUGCCUCAGGGUGCCUGGCCACCUACCCAUUGCCCUCUGAAGACGUGCCUGACCAACAGACCACACCCUCAGUCAACACACAGGGUCCCCACUGGGAUUUCAGACAGAGGGCAAAGAGACAGAGACGUGGUGGAAGGAGGGAAGAGCCCCCAGGGCCAGCAGGUACCCCAGAUCACCCAACUCCUCUUUGACAUCCAGCCUGGGAGCCCCCAACCUCUCCCCUAACCCAAACUGGCCCCAGGCCCUGGGUGAUGAGGAGGCAAAUAGUGGCACCUCAGCACCAAGACUUCCAGGGGUAGGUGGGCCAGGCCCAUCAGGCAGAGACCCCUCAUCCUCCUCCCCAGACAGCCCAGACCCUGCUCAUCCCCAUCAGAGGGCACCAAGCACUCACCUACUGCCAGGUUUACUGGCAUUUCUUUGUCAAAUGAAUAAAUGGCUAAAUGAAUGAAUGAUGUUUUCCAUACCAGCUGGCAAAUAAGACUUUUAAACGGGGCAAAAGCCCUGCUGGCAGUGAGUCGGCUGCGUCCAUGGCUAGCUCAGGUCUCCUGGGGGCUUCUUCUGCAGCUCAGUUGACUUCCAUCCUGAGAACCCACUGUGUGUGAGGGCCUGGCUGGGAGCAUGAGUGCAGAUACGGGCACGGGGAGGGUGCAGUGAAAGGAGCUUGGGAAUCAGGCAGACCUGCAUUCAAAUCCCACCCCCAGCUCCCCGGCCCCCAGCUCUGUGAUCCUGGGAAACGCCUCAGUUUCCACAUCUCUAAAGACAAACGGCACCACCCACCUCUUGGGAGUUGCUGUAAGGGAGGUUUCAGUGAAAUUUUGUGACAAAGUACCUAGCCCAGUGCCUGGUGUUUAGUGGGUGUUCAGAAAUCAGGAGCUAUGGCGAUGCUACUGAUGAGAAGGAAGAGGAACCCACAGUUCUGGCCCUGAAGACACCUUCCAUCCACUGAGGGGGAUAAAACACAGCUAGAUUAAAAAGCAGAAUGCAAUCUGUCCUCAAAGGGAACAAAAGGGCCUGGGAGUUCGAAGAGAAGAUCAAAUCCAACUGAGAAUGCGGAAAGGCUUUCCUGGAGAGAAUGGCAUUUGCAGAAGGCCUUGAAGGAUAGGGGUAAGAAGUGUCCCUUGGAGAGGGGAUGGCACGGACAAUGCUUUUUGCACAAUGACACACACGAUGACCAUCAUCAGUUCUACAGAGGCGGGGGAGCACAUGUGCAGGGAGGCGCGAGGAAGAGUUCAGGUACCUUACUCUGGCCUGGGAUCUCCAGGGGAGUUUCUGCCUCAACCAUUGGGAGCCACAGGAGGCUCCCCAGGCAAACAGAGAGGUGCCUCAUGCUUGAGAAGGGUCUCUCUGCCAAGGAUCAGCGGGAGAGGGGGCAGGGCCGGGAGACCAGCUACAAGGCUGCGGCAAUAGUCCGGGUGGGGUCGUGGGGAGCAGGGAUGAGGGAGGAGGGAAUAUGAGCUGCCGCAGGAGCUGGUCAGGAAGGGAAGGAAGUGGGAGGGAACCUCCUCCAGCUACUCCAGGACUGCAGCCUGGUGUCCUGCUGAGCCCUGUGCCUGACACCCCUCUCCCAUCCAGGGGCUCACAUGACCCCAGAGUUCACCCAGGCAGGCCCAAGCUCAGCGGCAGGAAGACCCCCUCUGAGGCCAGAGUAUAUGGCAUGACCCCAAAGUCAAGCUGGGGACCACGGUCGUCCCCAUUCACACUCGGCCCUAGAGUGGGGACUCUCCUGACCCAAAGGCCACCCAGGACUUACUCUGGGGCAGUUCUCCAGGACCCACUCCUGACACCCACUGUCGGUGAGUCAAUUCUAGUCUGACAGCCCCCAUCUUCCACCCACAAGAACUGGACUCUCUGGCCUCAGAUCAACAAGUCACCUUAUGUCACCACAGAAGCCAGUGCCACCUCCCACCUUCCUCCUCGGUCAAGAUGUCAGAUGGGGGCAGAUGGGCCAUGUGUCCAUCAGGGGCGGCUCUGAGGAAGGAUGAACGCCCACCUUCCCCGCAGCCUCAGGGCACAGGGGCCGAAGGCAGGAGAGGCCCCCUUUGGAGGAAGAGUUCCCCCCAGACCCUUCCAUGAAAUACAAGUUCUCUGAGCCUCAGUUUUCCUUCUCUAAAAAAUGGUUUAUCUUAUCUUACCAAACCAUGGAGACAGUAAAACAAAAAUGGGGUUAUCCUAUGUUACCAGACCAGGAGACAGUCAAAAACAGGCAAAGGGUGCACAGUCCCUUGUACGCCCGUUGCUACUGUGGGAGUGACGUUCAUAUUGAAUAGGAGCCCUAGGGUUUCUGCUGUCUCCAUUUUCCUGCGGCCCCCGGAGACUUCAUUUGCCUUGCUCGAUUACCAGCCCAGACCUCCCUCGCUUGCCCUGUCCCCAGAGGCCGCAGAAAACAGACUCUGCAGUAGCCCCCGGACGCAUCGGAGGAAGCAGACAGGCAGCUCGCCCUCCAGCUGUGCCCUCAGUGGACCUGACACACACCUGGUCCUGCUCUUCAGACACAGGACCCUGGUAUUUCUAAGAAAUCGGAAAACCGUCGCCCAGAGGAAAAGGAAGUCUUUUGAAGAGGGUGCCCGGCGUGGGCAGUGGGGCAGCGCCCCGGCACAGCCCCUUCUCCACCGCGUGGGAGGGAAGGGCUGUCGCGGCAGUCGCCGGGGUGAGGGAAGAGGGGUCCCGGGUCUAGCGGGGGUCUGCCCAGGACCCGCUGCUCAGCCCCAAAUGCCCCGGCCUGCGCUCGCGGAGGAACCAGGGUGCGCCCCUGUCACGACGCGGGUAAGAGGGGCUUCGGGGGCCAGAGUUGUGCCCCGAGCGCACGUGUGCCGGGCCCGGAGUCCCCAGCGGGUCCCCAGAGGCGCGCGUGUCUGAUGCGGAUGGGGGGCGGCGACUGGGACUCCCAGCCUCCCAGCCCGUGACAGCGCCCCGGGAGAGCGCGGCCCGGGCACCCGAAGGCUGCGCACCAGCCGGGUGGACAUGCGGGGCGGCUGUCCCCCGUGGGCCGCGCGAGUCACCCACCUGGGCGGGCAAGGCGUGCGCCGCAGCCCAGAGCUCCAGUCCGACGGCCAGCGCGGCCCAGACGGCGACGGGCGCCAUGGGUGCGGGCGGGGUCCGGUUGCCCCCUGCCCUCGCGCCCUCGCGCCCUCGCAGCCCAGCGCCUUCUCUCCAGGCUCCGCUGCGCUCGCUAGC